UGGAGGCAGCAGUAAGGAAUAUUGGACAAUGGGGGAAACCCUGAUCCAGCAAUGCCGCGUGAGUGAUGAAGGCCUUAGGGUUGUAAAGCUCUUUCGACGGGGACGAUGAUGACGGUACCCGUAGAAGAAGCCCCGGCUAACUUCGUGCCAGCAGCCGCGGUAAGACGAAGGGGGCUAGCGUUGUUCGGAAUUACUGGGCGUAAAGCGCGCGUAGGCGGCUCUUCAAGUCAGGCGUGAAAGCCCCGGGCUUAACCCGGGAAUAGCGCUUGAUACUGUUGGGCUUGAGUCCGGGAGAGGAUAGUGGAAUUCCCAGUGUAGAGGUGAAAUUCGUAGAUAUUGGGAAGAACACCAGUGGCGAAGGCGGCUAUCUGGACCGGAACUGACGCUGAGGCGCGAAAGCGUGGGGAGCAAACAGGAUUAGAUACCCGCGU
rnacentral:rRNA from 1 species